ensembl:ncRNA T05B11.13 ncRNA
ACAUAUUCAUUCUGAAACGCACCGCGGGCACGGAAAAAAACGUCCAGGCAUCGCUCAUUUUGACGGGGGAGAGAACCUUUUGCUCCGAGAGCCCUACACCGCCAUCACCGGAGCUUACAUACACACAGAUUUUCGGCAGAUUGUCACUUU